ACCUAGGGUAGAGGUGCGGUGUCUAUCAGUAGCUGUUAUUAGUCGGCAGACGUUUUAGCAACAGUGAAAGGAUUCAUCGCCGAAGGAAACAAGCUUUUGCAGAAGCCUUUCCUGGCAGUGCACAUAAGAUGUGUAAUGUUGUCACUUUUAUUUAAAAGUGGAGAGCUACAAGGUUC
rnacentral:ncRNA from 2 species